UACAGAGGGGGCAAGCGUUGUUCGGAAUUACUGGGCGUAAAGGGCGCGUAGGCGGCCUGUUAAGUCGAACGCGAAAUCCCCGGGCUCAACCCGGGAACUGCGUCCGAUACUGGCAGGCUUGAAUCCGGGAGAGGGAUGCGGAAUUCCAGGUGUAGCGGUGAAAUGCGUAGAUAUCUGGAGGAACACCGGUGGCGAAGGCGGCAUCCUGGACCAACACUGACGCUGAGGAGCGAAAGCCAGGGGAGCAAACGGG
rnacentral:rRNA from 1 species